UACACGCUGUGACUAGCAUAUCAAUAAGCGGAGGAAAAGGUACCUACGCUUAGGAUGUUGACACACGCGCGUGCUCGAUCUAUACAUGACUCUGUGCAUAUCAAUAAGCGGAGGAAAAGAAACUAACAAGGAUUCCCCUAGUAACGGCGAGUGAAGCGGGAAGAGCUCAAAUUUGAAAUCUUAAAGGGUUUCCCUUUACGAAUUGUAGUUUGAAAGAAGUGUUUUCUGUUGAGGUUUUGGUAAAAGUUCUUCGGAAUAGGACAUCAUAGAGGGUGAGAAUCCCGUAUUUGACCUUUACUUUCAACUUUGUGAUACACUUUCAAAGAGUCGGAUUGUUUGGGAAUGCAGUCCAAAAUGGGUGGUAAAUUUCAUCUAAAGCUAAAUAUUGGCGAGAGACCGAUAGCGAACAAGUACCGUGAGGGAAAGAUGAAAAGAACUUUGAAAAGAGAGUUAAACAGUACGUGAAAUUGUCAAAAGGGAAGCGUUUGACACCAGUGUUGUUUUUCUGAAAAUCAAUUAAAGAACUGUUUAUGCUAAGUUGUUUAGACUUUAUCAGCUAUCUGUUUAGUUUUGAGCUUUUCUUUAAUGCACUUUUCAGUUAACAAGUCAACAUCAAUUUCUUUUGCUGUAAAAAAGCUUGAGGAAGGUGGCUUGAGAUUCGUCUUAAGUGUUAUAUAGCCUCUUGCCUAUGCAGUCGGAGAGAUUGAGGUCUGCAGCGUAGAUCCUUCGGGGCUAAAUGCAUUUGUGCUAAGUUAUAGCAUUUUAUAGACAACUUGUUGACUAUGAUUUGUCUUGUAGCUUACUCGCUUAUGUUAUUUUACCUACGCUUAGGAUGUUGAAGAUGUAGCACAUCAU
rnacentral:rRNA from 1 species